AACCAGCACCUCAAGUGGUCAGGAUGAUUAUUGGGCCUAAAGCAUCCGUAGCCUGUUCUAUAAGUUUCCGGUUAAAUCCAUACGCUCAACGUAUGGGCUGCCGGAAAUACUGCAGAACUAGGGAGUGGGAGAGGUAGACGGUACUCGAUAGGAAGAGGUAAAAUUCUUUGAUCUAUUGAUGACCACCUGUGGCGAAGGCAGCUUUCUGGACCAAUACUGACGCUGAGGUACGAAAGCGUGGGUAGCAAACAGG
rnacentral:rRNA from 1 species